rnacentral:rRNA from 1 species
AUUCCAGCUCCAAUAGCGUAUAUUAAAGUUGUUGCAGUUAAAAGCUCGUAGUUGGAUCUCAGGGUGAGCUCAGUUGGUCGGCCUAAUUGGUCAGAACUGGCUGACUCUCCCUUGUUUCUGAAUCCCGGUCGGAGUUAAUUCUUCGUUCGUGGACUUCAGAUCGUUUACCUUGAAAAAAUUAGAGUGUUCAAAGCGGGCGUUUGCUUGAAUACAUUAGCAUGGGAUAAUGGAAUAGGACCCUGGUUCUAUUUUGUUGGUUUUGAGGACCAGAGUAAUGAUUAAUAGGGAUAGUUGGGGGCAUUCAUAUUUACAUGUCAGAGGUGAAAUUCUUGGAUUUUGGAAAGAUGAACUACUGCGAAGGCAUUUACCAAGGAUGUUUUCAUCG